CUGGGACUGCGGCACCGCGAGGGGGAGCCGGGGCGCGGUGCGAGGUCGCCUGAUCCUCACAGAAGCUGUCGGAGCUAGGCUGGCCAGUUCGGUAGACCCUAGGCACGGUGGCUGCCGAGCAUUGAAACGUAGGUAAUCUGAACUGAGAUGGGCUGUUAAGUGUGAAGAACACACUGGCUUUUAUGGGCUCAGUAAGUUAAAAUAAUGUGAAAUAUUUCAUUACUGAUUCUUAAAUAUUGAUGGUCUAUCAAAAUAAUAGUGUUUUGGAUACAUUGUGUUAAAUGACUUGUUUUGAAAUUAGAAAAUGUAAAAUUACAUACUUGGUUUCCAUUUGCUGCUCACUUACGCAUAUUUUUGUUGACUACCACCGGCUUCUGGUAAGCAUUAUUACUACCCCAAUUUCAUAGCUCCGAAAGCGAGGUUGAAAGACCUGACCAGCCACAAAGCUAGGAAGGGAAGGAAUCUAAAGCCUUUGUAUAAAUAAAAAGCCCAGGUGAGUUUUAAAGGCUUGGGUGGGCUGUGGUAAGGACCUGACUUAAUUAUUCACAAAGAUGGCCCUGCACGGUGGACUAGGUAACAGGGGCUUGGGGACUGCCUUUGGUUCCCAGCACAUUCCAACUAUAUAAUGAUGAUAAUUACAGGUGCCUUGGAGCUGGCUUUGUGGUAGGAGAUGAGAAGCCAUAUAUGAAAGCACAUUGAGUUUAUGGAGUAAAAAUGCCUUGGUAAAACCCAAGGUGAUGGGCUGGGCGCGGUGGCUCACGCCUGUAAUCCCAGCACUUUGGGAGGCUUAGGCGGGUGGAUCACGAGGUCAGGAGAUCGAGACCAUCCUGGCUAACACGGUGAAACCCCGUCUCUACUAAAAAUACAAAAAAAUUAGCCGAGCCUGGUGGCAGGCAUCUAUAGUCCCAGCUACUCGGGAGGCUGAGGCAGGAGAAUGGCGUGAACCCGGGAGGCGGAGCUUGCAGUGAGCCGAGAUGGCGCCACUGCACUCCAGCCCAGGCGACAGAGCCAGACUGCGUCUCAAUAAAAAACAACAACAAAAAACCCAAGAUGAUGCUGUCAUUCCUAAUGUGCACCCUACCUGCCACCUCAAUAGUUGGUCUGUAUCGGAGGUGGAAACUAAAGCCAGAUGUCUGUGAGUAGCCUCUUAGGCCAAGUUAGGUCUUAAUCACCCCAGCUUUAGGAAGCGCCCAGCAUCCUCCCAGAUGUAGGUAGGCAGGUGCCUAGUGCCUCUUCUCAGGGUGGGGACAGAUUUCCUAGAAUUUCUCCUCCUCUCUCCCCUCUCCCUGCUGCUGGGCCCCCAGUGGACAACCUGUCCCUCGGAUGCUACUCCCAGGUACCCAGGGCUUGACCUCCACCUUCUCCCCACCCCCACCCCAACUCUCACAUCUUGGCUCUUCACCACAGCCGGAGCCUUCCAGAUCCUCUCCAGAGAAUGGCUCUCCUUGGGGUACCUUCACUCAUUACACAGUUCUGAAAAGAUUUUUCCAGAGAUAAUUGCUUCUUGGCCUUUGUGUUUUAAUUCAGCGUGAAAUCUGAGGCCAAAUAGGAGCAGAGGAUGAGACCUGAAAGGGACAGCACUAGGGACACGGGGACCCCUAGCAGCUGGGCGUUUCCCGGCCUGUGGAGCAUGUGCCCACUCUGCUGUUCCUAGCUCAGUCCUCCAGCAAGUCACUGCACCUCUCUGAGCUUCUCUGGAAAUGGGUUUUUCUUACGUUGGGGAGCUGGGAGGCACUGUGCGUGAACUGGACAUUAGUGAGCGCACAGAAAAUAAAUCCAUGGCAGUGUUCACGGGCGCAGGCCAGGUACCUGAUUGUCUGCUCUGGAUCGCUGGCAGUGAAUGUUCUGCCCAAGUCGGCCUUCUCCUGCCUGGCAGUUCACGCCCAGCCUACUUCUCUCUGACGCGCUCCUCCCUCGGUGCCGCCCGUGAUGUGUGUUAGUAUAUAAUCAGAGAAACUCACACGCGGAGUUUUAAAUAAUGCCUGCCCUGCCUAAGGUGACUCAUCUGAGGCCGUGAGUUCCUGCUCUCCCCUCCCUCGCGGCAAGUGUAGAUAUCCCCAACCCCACCUCGCUGUCACUAAGCAACUCGACCUUGUACAGCACCGAUGCAGAUAAUAACAGGAGGAAAUAGAGCCUGCUAAUUGUCCCCUUCCCUAGAAUAGGUUUUUAAGGAGCAAUCUCUCCCCUUUCAUGUAUUUUUCAGUGUCUAAAGAGGAGCAGCUCCACCGGCUGUUGGGUGGGCCGGGGAUGGGGAAGGGGAAGAGGACCAACCUCCUCCAGCCUCAAGUCACUUCCUGCUUUAGACAGGAUGCCACUCGCAGUGUCUGAGCCACCCCUACCCUGAAGGCAUCAUUGGCGGGGUGAGGGGCGGGGGGCGGGGAAGGGCAGGUGUAAUGACAAAAUUCAGACUAGAGAAUGUGUUCCAGGUAGGAGGCUGAGCCACAUCUGUCUUUCACAAAAGGACAUAAGCUCUUACCCUUUUGCCUGCCCUUCCCGCCUGCUGCUUCAGAGGGCCCAACGAGAAGGGUCCUGGUGAGAAUGUUCUAGUGAAACGUACCCUGUGAAUAUGUGGUGUUAUGAUGAUAUCGUUACUGUUCACUGAUGCCAUCUCUAAGGGUGACAGUCGUGAUCUAGUUGAAAUAGAUUUAGUUGGUCCAAGUAAGAGAGUCCUGGAACUUCAAAAACACUAGUUUCCUCUGCAGAAUGAUGAAAACCCAAGGACCAUCCCAGCAAUACAAUUGUCUAAAUUUGUAUGGUACAGUCUUGCAUCCUGUUUGUGCCCUCAGAGAACUAGCCACACUCUCCGCUCCAACUUCUCUUUCCCAUGAAACUCAUCCAGUGCAGCCCCUGUCUGCUAUUUUUUAAAUAAAAGCAUCUCUUUAUGAAGAUGGAAGAAUUUUGUUCAAAG
rnacentral:lncRNA from 10 species